UAAUUCUCACAACCACUUAUGAGGUAGGUAAGAUUUUUGUUGUCAUUUUACAGAUUAAGAACUGAGGCUCAAAGAGGGUGAGAAACUGAUCCUCAGCCUCCCAGCUUCUAAGUGGUGGAGCCAGGAUUCAAACCUACAUUUCCUGAUGGGGCUCUCAAUCCUUCUGUCCACUGCCUCUGAGCUAAGAAAAUUAUAACCAGUUCAUACUUGGCAAACACUCUAUGCUGCACAAAAUACUCAGUUCUCGUCACUUCCCUGUGAGGUCAGGUUGAAGAGCAGACAAAAAGGGAUGCUGGAUAUCUGCUGAUCACAACUUCCGAAACACAAAAUUGCUGCUGCUGCUGGGGCUGAUUCCACCGCCAUCUCCUUAGACAGCAAGAACAGCCCUACAACAGUCCAUCUGAUUUCUCUAAGUACACUGCUUUCACUUCUAAA